rnacentral:rRNA from 1 species
GAUGAACGCUAGCGGCAGGCUUAACACAUGCAAGUCGAGGGGCAGCGCGGGAUAGCAAUAUCCUGGCGGCGACCGGCGGAAGGGUGCGUAACGCGUGAGCGACAUGCCCGUUGCCCGGGGACAACCGGUGGAAACGCCGACUAAUCCCCGAUGGGAUACGAUGCUUCAUGGCAUUGUAUUGAAAGUUACGGCGGCGACGGAUUGGCUCGCGUCCGAUUAGCUGGUUGGCGGGGUAACGGCCCACCAAGGCUGCGAUCGGUAGGGGUUCUGAGAGGAAGGCCCCCCACAAUGGGACUGAGACACGGCCCAUACUCCUACGGGAGGCAGCAGUGAGGAAUAUUGGUCAAUGGGCGGAAGCCUGAACCAGCCAUGCCGCGUGCGGGAAGGAGGCCCUAUGGGCUGUGAACCGCUUUUGCCUGGGGGCAAUAAGGGCGUCGCGCACGUCCGAUGAGAGUACCAGGCGAAUAAGCAUCGGCUAACUCCG